rnacentral:rRNA from 1 species
CCUACGGGAGGCAGCAGUGAGGAAUAUUGGUCAAUGGACGCAAGUCUGAACCAGCCAUGUAGCGUGCAGGAUGACGGCCCUAUGAGUUGUAAACUGCUUUUGUACGAGGGUAAACGCAGACACGUGUGUCUGUUUGAAAGUACCGUAUGAAUAAGGAUCGGCUAACUCCGUGCCAGCAGCCGCGGUAAUACGGAGGAUCCGAGCGUUAUCCGGAUUUAUUGGGUUUAAAGGGUGCGUAGGCGGUCGGUUAAGUUAGUGGUGAAAUGCCGCGGCUCAACCGCGGAAUUGCAUCUGAUACUGGUAGGCUUGAGUGUAGGUGAGGUAGGCGGAAUGUGUGGUGUAGCGGUGAAAGGCUUAGAGAUCACGCAGAACUCCGAUUGCGAAGGCAGCCUACCAAGCUGCUACUGACGUUGAGGCACGAAGGCGUGGGGAUCAAACAGGAUUAGAUACCCUAGUAGUC